rnacentral:rRNA from 1 species
CCUACGGGAGGCAGCAGUGGGGAAUAUUGCGCAAUGGGCGAAAGCCUGACGCAGCGACGCCGCGUGAGGGAUGAAGGUCUUCGGAUCGUAAACCUCUGUCAGCAGGGAAGAACGGUCACUGUGCUAAUCAGCAGUGAAUUGACGGUACCUGCAAAGGAAGCACCGGCUAACUCCGUGCCAGCAGCCGCGGUAAUACGGAGGGUGCGAGCGUUAAUCGGAAUUACUGGGCGUAAAGCGCUCGUAGGCGGUAUGUCAAGUCAAGGGUGAAAUCCCCGCGCUCAACGUGGGAACUGCCUUUGAAACUGGCAAACUGGAGUGUGGGAGAGGAUAGUGGAAUUCCAGGUGUAGGAGUGAAAGCCGUAGAUAUCUGGAGGAACAUCAGUGGCGAAGGCGACUAUCUGGCACAUAACUGACGCUGAGGAGCGAAAGCGUGGGUAGCAAACAGGAUUAGAUACCCCGGUAGUC